UACGUAGGCAGCGAGCGUUGUUCGGAGUUACUGGGCGUAAAGGGUGUGUAGGCGGUCCUCUAAGUUUGGUGUGAAAUCUCCCGGCUCAACCGGGAGGGUGCGCCGAAAACUGGAGGGCUAGAGUGCGGGAAGGGAGACUGGAAUUCCCGGUGUAGCGGUUGAAAUGUGUAGAGAUCGGGAAGGAACACCGGUGGCGAAGGCGGCCUGCUGGCAGUGGCUGACACUGAGGCGCGACAGCGUGGGGAGCAACAGG
rnacentral:rRNA from 1 species